rnacentral:rRNA from 1 species
AUUGAACGCUGGCGGCAGGCCUAACACAUGCAAGUCGAACGAGUGGCGGACGGGUGAGUAAUGUCUGGGAAAGUGCCCGAUGGCGGGGGAUAACUACUGGACACGGUCGCUAAUACCGCAUACUAUUGGAUGUGCCCAUAUGGGUUUAGCUAGUGGGUGGGGUAACGGCUCACCUAGGCGACGAUCCCUAGCUGGUUUGAGAGGAGGACCAGCCACACUGGGACUGAGACACGGCCCAGACUCCUACGGGAGGCAGCAGUUGGGAAUAUUGCACAAUGGGCGCAAGCCUGAUUCAGCCAGGCCGCGUGUAUGAUGAAGGCCUUCGGGUUGUAAAGUACUUUCGGCGAGGAGGCGUUACUCGCAGAAGAAGCACCGGCUAACUCCGUGCCAGCAGCCGCGGUAAUAC